CGGUGGAUGAUGUGGUUAAUUCGAUGCAACGCGAAAACCUUACCACCUUGACAUGUACGGAAUCCUUUAGAGAUAGAGGAGUGCUCGAAAGAGAGCCGUAACACAGGUGCUGCAUGGCUGUCGUCAGCUCGUGUCGUGAGAUGUUGGGUUAAGUCCCGCAACGAGCGCAACCCUUGUCAUUAGUUGCUACAUUCAGUUGGGCACUCUAAUGAGACUGCCGGUGACAAACCGGAGGAAGGUGGGGAUGACGUCAAGUCCUCAUGGCCCUUAUAGGUGGGGCUACACACGUCAUACAAUGGAUGGUACAAAGGGUCGCCAACCCGCGAGGGGGAGCCAAUCCCAUAAAGCCAUUCGUAGUCCGGAUCGCAGUCUGCAACUCGACUGCGUGAAGUCGGAAUCGCUAGUAAUCGUGGAUCAGAAUGUCACGGUGAAUACGUUCCCGGGUCUU
rnacentral:rRNA from 1 species